UGCAAGUAUGCUUCCUCACUGAAUCCAGCCUCUUCUGCCUUGUCUGCAUGAGUAAGUAGAACUGCAGUGAAAUUCUUCCAUGUGGGACCCAGAAGUUCCUGUAAUGAAAAACAAAUCUUAAAUAGUUAUCUUUUCUUGUUCCUUUUCCUCACUCCCACCUCAUAUACUUAUGCAUUAACAGACCAGUUGUAUGUUCUUUUUCUGGCAGUAAUCCGAUUCAUGCUAUCUGAGUUGCUGAAAUUUCUGGGGUUUUUCACCUUCCCAAGACACUGACAUCUAUUUUCAGUGGAAAUAUGUGGUCGUGCAGUACUAGCAGUUCUCUGUUCUCUUAUUACAGAUGUUAAUAGAAUUUCUCCAGUUAAAAAAUGGCUGUGUAAAUAAGGAAAAAGGGUUGUUUAGCUAUGUCAUGCAUUAGUUUACAUCAGUAAUUUCCACAUAUCUGUAUUUCUACACUUUUUACAGCUCUUUGAAAUGCUUUUUUAAAAAAUCAGCAAAUAAUCUUGUGUUGAAAAAAUAAGUGAUGAAAUUUUGUGUAACAGCAACUGCAAUUCCAGCUGUAUACCAUAAAACUGAACUAUUCUCAGCAUUUCCAGAAAAACACAAAUCAAAUGCAUCAACCUAAGUGAUGGGCCAGAGAGUUGGUCUUUAACUGCUGUGGUUCAUCUGAUGGAGGGGAGGGGAGAAAACAAGCUCCUGUUGUCAAUGAGUACAGAAAAUUUUAAUAUGAAUAAGAGAUUGGGCUUUCAUUUACAGAUAUAAAUGAAAUUGCAACUUCAGUGCAAUCAUGUUAACUCCUGUGUAUGAAAAGAAGCCUACUUUGUUAAUAAAGUCAACUUUGCAAUGCAUCUUA